AUAUGCAAAAAGUGAUAUAAAUAAUAUAAAUAAUAACAAUCAUAUUGGUAUAAAUUCUUUUAAUUAUAUACCUGCCCCUCCACCAGAUGACGGACGUACAGUUGCAACUACAAAUAUUACUAACAAUACUACUAAUACCAUUACAAAUAAUACUAAUAAUAAUAUUCCUCCCCCUCCAUAUGAUCCACUUAACAACUUUUAUUUUAAUCAAACCAAUAAACAAGAUAAAAUAAAAAUGGACAUAGAAUAUAAAAAAAUGAUGAGUGAAUUAAGUACCGACCAACAUAGUACAACUACAACGGUUGGAACGACAAGUACAGUUACAAAUUUGUUUGAAUCAAGCGAAAUUUUAUCUAAUGAAAUUGUUCUACCAUCACAUGGACAUGUUCCUAUUUCUGCUCCUAUUUCUGCAAGUUCCAAUGAAUGUAAUAAUGUUAACGAAAUGGAAAGUGCCCAUAUGGAUACUAUGAUUAAUGGAUAUAACAAUAGUAAACAGAAUUACAUUAAUAAUAUGAUGCCUCCAAUUAAUAGUAAAAAUAUUACGAAUCCUAAUUUUAUACCCCUGGGAAAAAAUAAAAAUUUAUUUAAUGAUUCAUUAUUAAACACAAAAAACAUAUAUGACCCUAUAAAAUUUGCAAAUGCUCAAAAUAAUGCUGAUGCAAACAUGAAUAUAGUAAAUAAUAUAAAUAACAAGAAUGGAAAUAUAAAUACGAACGUAAAUGCGGAUACUCGUGUUAAUACAAAUAACAGUUAUGCAAGUAUGAGUGGUACUGCUAUGUCAAUGACACCGCCAUUAGCACCACCAUUAGGACCUCCUCCCCUACCCAUAUUUCCAAACUUUUUUAAUUUACCAUUUAUUAAUAAUGCUGUUGUACCUACAAACGAAAUGUUACCUUUUCAGAACAUGCAGCAGUUGCCAUUAACUCAGCCGAUGGCCAUGGACCCCAUGUACAUGCAAGAAUGGUCACAAAUGAUCAUGAAUUAUUCGGAAAAUAUUUUAUCCCAUGCGCCUGCUCCCGACACUAACCCUCCUCCUUUACCAUCAGAAAACAUAAACAAUGAAGAUGAACAAAAUGUCACGUAAAAAAAAAAAAAAAAAAAAAAAAAAAAAAAAAUUUGGAUAUAAAAAAAUUUACAGGGUUUAUAUAUAAUUAUAUAUAUAUAUAUAUAUAUACAUAUAUAGAUUGAUUAAAUAAAAAUUAAAUAAUUUAUGAUGCGUUUAUUUAU
rnacentral:lncRNA from 1 species